rnacentral:tRNA from 6 species
GCGGGCGUGGCGAAAUUGGCAGACGCACCAGAUUUAGGUUCUGGCGCCGAGAGGCAUGGGGGUUCAAGUCCCUCCGCCCGCA